rfam:Branchiostoma floridae genomic scaffold BRAFLscaffold_147, whole genome shotgun sequence.
AGUUGCUGUUUCCGGUUUGGCAUCACCCCGUCCAUAGAUCGCCCCCUAGUGUGUUUCGGCUGAUCUGGCUGGUUCCGUGUUGCCACCGCCACAUCCGCAUCUCUUCCACCGGCUCUCCCGACGCCUCGCGCUCGGUCGAGAGUCUACCUCCUCCCCGAGUCAACCCCCUGUGAUUGCCGAAAGGUUGGGUGAAAAGCGUAGCUGCAGCCCCUGAUGUUCUCCACUGCUAGGCUCAGAGAGCGUCCUGUCGAGCGCAGCAAAGUCAAGCGCCACACACAUCCAAUACGGCGCUGCCACGCAGGCGGCUUGCCAUUUUUU